AUUGAACGCUGGCGGCAGGCCUAACACAUGCAAGUCGAGCGGAUGAAGGGAGCUUGCUCCUGGAUUCAGCGGCGGACGGGUGAGUAAUGCCUAGGAAUCUGCCUGGUAGUGGGGGAUAACGUCCGGAAACGGGCGCUAAUACCGCAUACGUCCUGAGGGAGAAAGUGGGGGAUCUUCGGACCUCACGCUAUCAGAUGAGCCUAGGUCGGAUUAGCUAGUUGGUGGGGUAAAGGCCUACCAAGGCGACGAUCCGUAACUGGUCUGAGAGGAUGAUCAGUCGCACUGGAACUGAGACACGGCCCAGACUCCUACGGGAGGCAGCAGUGGGGAAUAUUGGACAAUGGGCGAAAGCCUGAUCCAGCCAUGCCGCGUGUGUGAAGAAGGUCUUCGGAUUGUAAAGCACUUUAAGUUGGGAGGAAGGGCAGUAAGUUAAUACCUUGCUGUUUUGACGUUACCAACAGAAUAAGCACCGGCUAACUUCGUG
rnacentral:rRNA from 1 species